AUUGAACGCUGGCGGCAUGCCUUACACAUGCAAGUCGAACGGCAGCACGGGAGCAAUCCUGGUGGCGAGUGGCGAACGGGUGAGUAAUAUAUCGGAACGUGCCCAGUAGUGGGGGGAUAGCCCGGCGAAAGCCGGAUUAAUACCGCAUGAGACCUGAGGGUGAAAGCGGGGGAUCGCAAGACCUCGCGCUAUUGGAGCGGCCGAUAUCAGAUUAGCUAGUUGGUGGGGUAAAGGCCUACCAAGGCAACGAUCUGUAGUUGGUCUGAGAGGACGACCAGCCACACUGGGACUGAGACACGGCCCAGACUCCUACGGGAGGCAGCAGUGGGGAAUUUUUGGGACAAUGGGCGCAAGCCUGAUCCAGCAAUGCCGCGUGCAGGAAGAAGGCC
rnacentral:rRNA from 1 species